rnacentral:rRNA from 1 species
UAAUGGCGAAUGAACAGGGAUGAGCUCAAUAUGGAAAUUGCGGCUUCUGGCUGUGAAUUGUAAUCUCAAGAUGUAUUGCUAACGGGGGCGUGGGUGUAAGCCUCUUGGAAAAGAGAACCGUAGAGGGUGAGAAUCCCGUCUGUCAUCCACAGUCCUCCGUGUACGGCGUACGUUCUUAGAGUCACGUUCCUCGGGAUUGGAGCGCAAACUGGGUGGUAAGUUUCAUCUCAAGCUAAAUAUGGGUUCGAAACCGAUAGCAAACAAGUACCAUGAGGGAAAGAUGAAAAGGACUUUGAAAAGAGAGUUAAAAGUGCCUGAACUUGCUGAAAGGAAAGCGGAUGGAACCAGUGUUGCUUGGUGAGAUUGUUGCACGCUAUGGUGAUUCUCGCUGCGACAGCGUAAGCGUCGCUGUGAGUUGUAUCCUGUUGCGUGUGAUGUUUCUUACCUUGUGCGUCAUCGUCGGUUUGGGGGCGUGGAUAACCCUUGAGACAUGGUAGCACGGCCGCGGCUGUGUGAACGUGUCUUGCGGAACUCGCCUCCAGACUGGUACACUCAUGGUGACUAAAUGGUUCUAUUCGACCCGUCUUGAAACACGGACCAAGGAGUCUAACAUAUGUGCGAGUUCUUGGGUUUUAAACCUACGUGCGCAAUGAAAGUGAUUACUGAGAUAUUAGCAUCAGCAGCCGACCGAUCAAUUGGGAGAGGUUUGAGCAUGAGCAUAUCUGUUAGGACCCGAAAGAUGGUGAACUAUGCCUGUGAAGGGCGAAGUCUGGGGAAACUCAGAUGGAGGCUCGUAGCGAUACUGACGUGCAAAUCGUUCGUCAUACAUGGGUAUAGGGGCGAAAGACUAAUCGAACCAUCUAGUAGCUGGUUCCCUCCGAAGUUUCCCUCAGGAUAGCUGGAGUUGAAUAGUUUUAUCAGGUAAAGCGAAUGAUUAGAGGAAUCGGGGACAUGUUGUCCUCGACCUAUUCUCAAACUUUAAAUGGGUAAGCUGCAGUUGUUACUUAGUUGAACUUCUGCGUUUAAUUACAACUCUAAGUGGGCCAUUUUUGGUAAGCAGAACUGGCGAUGAGGGAUGAACCUAACGUU